rnacentral:rRNA from 1 species
ACGAUGAUGCCCAGCUUGCUGGGUGGAUUAGUGGCGAACGGGUGAGUAACACGUGAGUAACCUGCCCCUGACUCUGGGAUAAGCGUUGGAAACGACGUCUAAUACUGGAUAUGACUGCUGGCCGCAUGGUCUGGUGGUGGAAAGAUUUUUUGGUUGGGGAUGGACUCGCGGCCUAUCAGCUUGUUGGUGAGGUAAUGGCUCACCAAGGCGACGACGGGUAGCCGGCCUGAGAGGGUGACCGGCCACACUGGGACUGAGACACGGCCCAGACUCCUACGGGAGGCAGCAGUGGGGAAUAUUGCACAAUGGGCGAAAGCCUGAUGCAGCAACGCCGCGUGAGGGAUGACGGCCUUCGGGUUGUAAACCUCUUUUAGUAGGGAAGAAGCGUAAGUGACGGUACCUGCAGAAAAAGCACCGGCUAACUACGUGCCAGCAGCCGCGGUAAUACGUAGGGUGCAAGCGUUGUCCGGAAUUAUUGGGCGUAAAGAGCUCGUAGGCGGUUUGUCGCGUCUGCUGUGAAAUCCCGAGGCUCAACCUCGGGCUUGCAGUGGGUACGGGCAGACUAGAGUGCGGUAGGGGAGAUUGGAAUUCCUGGUGUAGCGGUGGAAUGCGCAGAUAUCAGGAGGAACACCGAUGGCGAAGGCAGAUCUCUGGGCCGUAACUGACGCUGAGGAGCGAAAGCGUGGGGAGCGAACAGGAUUAGAUACCCUGGUAGUCCACGCCGUAAACGUUGGGCGCUAGAUGUAGGGACCUUUCCACGGUUUCUGUGUCGUAGCUAACGCAUUAAGCGCCCCGCCUGGGGAGUACGGCCGCAAGGCUAAAACUCAAAGGAAUUGACGGGGGCCCGCACAAGCGGCGGAGCAUGCGGAUUAAUUCGAUGCAACGCGAAGAACCUUACCAAGGCUUGACAUACACCGGAAACGGCCAGAGAUGGUUGCCCCCUUGUGGUCGGUGUACAGGUGGUGCAUGGUUGUCGUCAGCUCGUGUCGUGAGAUGUUGGGUUAAGUCCCGCAACGAGCGCAACCCUCGUUCUAUGUUGCCAGCGCGUUAUGGCGGGGACUCAUAGGAGACUGCCGGGGUCAACUCGGAGGAAGGUGGGGAUGACGUCAAAUCAUCAUGCCCCUUAUGUCUUGGGCUUCACGCAUGCUACAAUGGCCGGUACAAAGGGCUGCGAUACCGUAAGGUGGAGCGAAUCCCAAAAAGCCGGUCUCAGUUCGGAUUGAGGUCUGCAACUCGACCUCAUGAAGUCGGAGUCGCUAGUAAUCGCAGAUCAGCAACGCUGCGGUGAAUACGUUCCCGGGCCUUGUACACACCGCCCGUCAAGUCAUGAAAGUCGGUAACACCCGAAGCCGGUG